UCAUGAUAAUACAUUACCAAUUCAAACCUACCGCUAUCGUGUAUACUUUUAUAAUAAACUAACCAUCUUUUAUAUUUUCCGUUUAUACUAACGAAGAUAUGUUUAUGAUAUGACUUACAUAAUGAACAGAAAACACUAAUUAAUUAAAAUACUUUAUAUUGCCAUUUUCUAUCAUUAUUAUUUUGUUGUCAUCAAUUUAAACAGACUUAUAGUACCUCUCUGUAAACUACACUUAGCUAUGCAUUCAUAUGAACGACGAAAAACAAUUAUUUCUACGUGCUAAACUAUCCGCCUUUGAAUUCUGUAGUACAUAAAUGAUUUUUGAACUGAGAAAAUUUUCUUGGAAGGUAUUGAUGUCUUUCAAAUAACUUGUAAAAGAUAGUCAUUCUUCUGGUUCCAAAAUCAUAUUCACCAAUUGAGAACAGUUUGUUGCAAACAUGAUCCGAAACUAACGUAAAUUUCUCAUACACUCCAUUGCUCAGAGUAGCGCCUCCACCUCUGAAUGAAGAAGGGAUAGACUAGCCCUAACAUUUCUUGUCCCCAUCAAA
rnacentral:lncRNA from 1 species